GAUGAACGCUGGCGGCGUGCCUAAUACAUGCAAGUCGAGCGAACAGACGAGGAGCUUGCUCCUCUGACGUUAGCGGCGGACGGGUGAGUAACACGUGGAUAACCUACCUAUAAGACUGGGAUAACUUCGGGAAACCGGAGCUACUACCGGAUAAUAUAUUGAACCGCAUGGUUCAAUAGUGAAAUACGGUUUUGCUGUCACUUAUAGAUGGAUCCGCGCCGCAUUAGCUAGUUGGUAAGGUAACGGCUUACCAAGGCAAGGAUGCGUAGCCGACCUGAGAGGGUGAUCGGCCACACUGGAACUGAGACACGGUCCAGACUCCGACGGGAGGCAGCAGUAGGGAAUCUUACGCAAUGGGCGAAAGCUUGACGGAGCAACGCCGCGUGAGUGAUGAAGGUCUUCGGAUCGUAAAACGCUGUUAUUAGGGAAGAACAAAUGUGUAAGUAACUAUGCACGUCUUGACGGUACCUAAUCAGAAAGCCACGGCUAACUACGUG
rnacentral:rRNA from 1 species